rnacentral:misc_RNA from 1 species
AAGUCGUAACAAGGUAACCGUAGGUGAACCUGCGGUUGGAUCAUUAACAAUCCUAGACCCUCGGGUCUUUAACCACUUGUGCAUCAUUUCAUGUCUCUGGGUGUCUUAUGCUUGCGUAGGAUGCCCGACCUAUAUCAACUUGUAUAAUUUGUCUGAUCUUAUUAUUUUAUAAUAAAAAACAACUUUUGACAACGGAUCUCUUGGCUCUC